GCUAUCGGGGUUCGAUUAAGCCAUGCGAGUCGAGAGGGUUCAGGCCCUCGGCGGACUGCUCAGUAACACGUGGAUAAUCUGCCCUAUGGUGGAGGAUAACCCCGGGAAACUGGGGAUAAUACUCCAUAAGUCAGGAGUACUGGAAUGUCUCCUAACUGAUAGUUGCGGCGCCAUAGGAUGAAUCUGCGGCCGAUUAGGUAGUUGUUGGGGUAACGGCCCAACAAGUCUGUAAUCGGUUUGGGUUGUGGGAGCAAGAGCCCGGAGAUGGAAUCUGAGACACGAUUCCAGGCCCUACGGGGCGCAGCAGGCGCGAAAACUUUACAAUGCAGGAAACUGUGAUAAGGGAACCCCGAGUGCCCGUAAACGCGGGCUGUCCCGGUGUUUAAACACAUCGGAAGAAAGGGCCGGGCAAGACCGGUGCCAGCCGCCGCGGUAUACCGGCGGCUCGAGUGGUGACACUUUUAUUGGGCUAAAGCGUUCGUAGCUUGAUUUUAAGUCUCUGGGAAUCUCACGGCUUACUGGGAGGCGCUAAAAAACUGGGAUCUAGGCACGGGAAGUAAGAGGCUCCCGGGGGAGA
rnacentral:rRNA from 1 species